GGGAAGUUGAAGGUUAGCAUGCAGGAAGGACACUCCAAUCCACAGUAACUGCAGCAGUCUUCACUUUCUUCCUGUUCCUGAUCCCCUAGCCCAUGUGAUCUGCUGGGGGCGGGGCCUCUUCUCCCAGCCCUCCACUCACAGGAGGAGGAUUCAGAAGGAGGAGGAGCCUGCUGCAAGGGAAAGGGCCCCUGUGAGUCAGUGCAGGUGAUUGAUUUGCUUUUCACGCACGUAGAAUAGUUCUCGUGCCAAUAAUCUAGAGAUCAGCACGGUCGGUCACCACAGUCACAGUCCUCUACUCUCACUCCUGCAGGAGUCCUCAUACACCUACCUGCAGGACGGGUUUGCCCACUCUGUCUGUCACUGACCAGCAUGGAGGAGAUGCAGUCAUCCAUCCAUCCCUGUAAACUGGGUGGCUCACCUUACUAAACCACUACUGUCAGCACUCAGGAGGAACUUAAACCUAUGAAGGUAGCAUGAACCUAAUGGGACUGUGAUUACAGAUAGAGGUAGAGGAGAAAGUAGCCAGGGUUGGCUAGGUUACUUUCUACUUGUAAUCCGUUAGGGUUACAAGCUACCAGUCAAAAAUUGUAAUCAUUAAUGUAACUUUUGGGUUACCCAAACUCAGUCUCUGACAUCAUAGUGGUCUCUGACAUCAUAGUGGUCAGACUCCCUCAGGUGGAACCAAAUUGAACCAACUUUUUUCAAUGCUGAAUUUAAUGUCAUUGAGAAAACAGAAUGGUGUCAAUGUAUUUAUUUUCGCAAUCAUCCUUUCUGAAUUGAAAAGUAAACCAAGAAGUAAUCAUGUAGUUAAAAAAAAAAAAAAAGUAUCUUUAAUUUGAUUGCAAUUUUUUUUCUGUAAUGUACCUGAUUAGACCGUUUUUUUGGGGGGGUAAUCAGAUUACAUGUAAUCAGUUACUGCCCAAUCCUGGAAGUAGCAGAGAGGAGGGGGGAGAGAGAGAAGAGUAGCUGAGGGCCUUCUCUGCAGUGUGUUGCUGCUACUGCAGGGACAAGGAAGUUGGGGAUAAUCCUGCUGCCCACAUGUCACUGGCAUGGUGCUUGUGCAAAUGGCACGCUGCUGGGCCAAGCGGUGUGGAGGAGGGUUAGUGACUAAUUAUACUACAUUAUGAAACAGCA
rnacentral:lncRNA from 1 species